rnacentral:rRNA from 1 species
AUCUUAGCUAAUACCGCAUAACACUUACGAGUCAAAGCAGCAAUGCGCUUGGAGAGGAGUUCGCGGCCGAUUAGUUAGUUGGCGGGGUAAUGGCCCACCAAGACGAUGAUCGGUAUCCGGCCUGAGAGGGCGCACGGACACACUGGAACUGAAACACGGUCCAGACUCCUACGGGAGGCAGCAGUGGGGAAUUUUGCGCAAUGGGGGAAACCCUGACGCAGCAACGCCGCGUGGAGGAUGAAAUAUCUUGGUAUGUAAACUCCUUUCGAUGGGGAAGAUUAUGACGGUACCCAUAGAAGAAGCCCCGGCUAACUUCGUGCCAGCAGCCGCGGUAAUACGAGGGGGGCAAGCGUUGUUCGGAUUUAUUGGGCGUAAAGGGUGCGUAGGCGGUUUGGCAAGUCUGAUGUGAAAUCUAUGGGCUCAACCCAUAGUCUGCAUCAGAAACUGCCG